UCCUGUCGCACUGAAUAAUAUUGAGUUAACUUUAUUGCUGUACAUUAGCUGCAAUGUAAGUUUUCCAAAAGGAUUUUAACUGAACUGCUUAAUAUUAUUUAGUUGCUGAGAGUGCUUCCUUAUAAAUACUCUUGUGAUGGACCUAAAGCCGAACGAAUUUGCGAUCUAAGUGUGAACACUGGUCAUACACAUGCUGCAGUUCAGACACGAUUGGAAUGAAGUCAACAGUAAAGAAGCAGAGUGGGCAGUUGUCAAUGAGCUCUUUGCUUAACUGCAGUGAACAAAGAACAAAGAAAGAGAACAAAGAAAAUUUACAGCCCAAGAACAGGCCUUUC